UUUCGAUAGCUCAGUUGGUAGAGCGGAGGACUGUAGGCUCAUUAAGCAAGGUAUCCUUAGGUCGCUGGUUCGAAUCCGGCUCGGAGGACGGUAGUUUUGACCUACCAAGCUAAUAAUUCCAGACAAUACGGUCUUUACAAAAAAUAAGGAUCCAGGCAAAAAAAAUGUAUUAGAUAGCUCUUUAUGCUCAAACAUGCACAAGUAAACCAUUUUUGGUUACAUGAGUAAAAAAUUUUAGGAAUAAACUAGAAAUGUGGUAGCUUCACCGAAGGGCACCUGCGUAGAUGAAAAGCAGCGUUUCCAGGAAGUCUGAGGCUUCACUUUUUCCUUGUGAAAUUUGUACCUCGCAACACUCUUCACCUCCACUCCCUCCCUGAGUCUCCUGCUGGCUGGCUCUUGGUUUCUCGAUGCCAUUCUUAUUUCCGGCUACUGAUCGUCAAAUGCAGUUUUUAUUCCCACUUCCCCUCUCCAUCCCCGACCCGAGCUGACGUUCGACCAGCAAACCACAGCCAACGCCCGCAACACAGUUCAGUUAAGAAGGCGCGUGGGAGGUGUGGGGAAUGACAGGAGCACUCUGGCCCCAAGGUUUUCGUUUCAGUUUUUACUGGAGGUUAGGAUAUACGAUGACUUUUGGGGUCCUCUGUUAUCCUGUUACUUUUCUUCUCUCUCUCUGUUUCUCUGUGUGGUUGUUGUUGUUGUUGUUGUUGUUUUAGACAAUCUCGCUCUGUCGCCCAGACUGGAGUGCAGCGGUGCAAUCUCGGCUCACUGGACUUCCCGGGCUCAAGCGAUCCUCCCACCUCAGACUCCCGAGUAGCUGGCACUACAAGCGCAAGUCAGAACCCCUAGCUAUUUUUGGAGAGACGAGGGGUGGGUGGGAG
rnacentral:tRNA from 1 species